GACGAACGCUGGCGGCGUGCUUAACACAUGCAAGUCGAACGGGAAGGCCCUGCUUUUGUGGGGUGCUCGAGUGGCGAACGGGUGAGUAACACGUGAGUAACCUGCCCUUGACUUUGGGAUAAUUUCAGGAAACUGGGGCUAAUACCGGAUAGGAGCUCCUGCUGCAUGGUGGGGGUUGGAAAGUUUCGGCGGUUGGGGAUGGACUCGCGGCUUAUCAGCUUGUUGGUGGGGUAGUGGCUUACCAAGGCUUUGACGGGUAGCCGGCCUGGGAGGGUGACCGGCCACAUUGGGACUGAGAUACGGCCCAGACUCCUACGGGAGGCAGCAGUGGGGAAUAUUGCACAAUGGGCGGAAGCCUGAUGCAGCAACGCCGCGUGCGGGAUGACGGCCUUCGGGUUGUAAACCGCUUUCGCCUGUGACGAAGCGUGAGUGACGGUAAUGGGUAAAGAAGCACCGGCUAACUACGUG
rnacentral:rRNA from 1 species